rnacentral:rRNA from 1 species
UACGAAGGGGGCUAGCGUUGUUCGGAAUUACUGGGCGUAAAGCGUGCGCAGGCGGCCAUGCAAGACAGAUGUGAAAUCCCCGGGCUUAACCUGGGAACUGCAUUUGUGACUGCAUGGCUGGAGUGCGGCAGAGGGGGAUGGAAUUCCGCGUGUAGCAGUGAAAUGCGUAGAUAUGCGGAGGAACACCGAUGGCGAAGGCAAUCCCCUGGGCCUGCACUGACGCUCAUGCACGAAAGCGUGGGGAGCAAACAGG